GCUGGUGUAGCUCAGUUGGCAGAGCGGCUGAUUUGUAAUCAGCAGGCCGGGGAUGCGGGUUCGAUCCCCGUCACUCGCUCCA
rnacentral:tRNA from 1 species